GACGAACGCUGGCGGCGUGCUUAACACAUGCAAGUCGAACGGAAAGGCCCUGCUUUUGUGGCGUGCUCGAGUGGCGAACGGGUGAGUAACACGUGAGUAACCUGCCCUUGACUUUGUGAUAACUUCAGGAAACUGGGGCGAAUACCGGAUAGGAGCUCCUGCUGCAUGGUGGGGGUUGGAAAGUGUCGGCGGUUGGGGAUGGACUCGCGGCUUAUCAGCUGGUUGGUGGGGUAGUGGCUUACCAAGGCUUUGACGGGUAGCCUGCCUGAGAGGGUGACCGGCCACCUUGGGACUGCGAUACGGCCCAGAAUCCUAUGGGCGGCAGCAGUGGGGAAUAUUGCACAAUGGGCGGAAGCCUGAUGCAGCAACGCCGCGUGCGGGAUGACGGCCUUCGGGUUGUAAACCGCUUUCGCCUGUGACGAAGCGUGCGUGACGGUAAUGGGUAAAGAAGCACCGGCUAACUACGUG
rnacentral:rRNA from 1 species